CCUACGGGAGGCAGCAGUGGGGAAUAUUGCACAAUGGGGGAAACCCUGAUGCAGCGACGCCGCGUGAGUGAAGAAGUAUUUCGGUAUGUAAAGCUCUAUCAGCAGGGAAGAAAAUGACGGUACCUGACUAAGAAGCCCCGGCUAACUACGUGCCAGCAGCCGCGGUAAUACGUAGGUGGCAAGCGUUGUCCGGAUUUACUGGGUGUAAAGGGCGUGCAGCCGGAGAGACAAGUCAGAUGUGAAAUCCGCAGGCUCAACCUGCGAACUGCAUUUGAAACUGUUUCCCUUGAGUAUCGGAGAGGUCAUCGGAAUUCCUAGUGUAGCGGUGAAAUGCGUAGAUAUUAGGAAGAACACCAGUGGCGAAGGCGGAUGACUGGACGACAACUGACGGUGAGGCGCGAAAGCGUGGGGAGCAAACAGGAUUAGAUACCCCAGUAGUC
rnacentral:rRNA from 1 species